AGCAGCCGCGGUAAUUCCAGCUCCAAUAGCGUAUAUUAAAGUUGCUGCAGUUAAAAAGCUCGUAGUUGAAUUUCGGGGUCAAUAUGUUGGUCGUGCCUUGGUGCGUACUAGUUUAUUGAUUUCUCCCUUCUGACGAACUAUGAUGCCAUUAAUUUGGUGUCAUGGGGAAUCAGGACUGUUACUUUGAAAAAAUUAGAGUGUUUAAAGCAGGCUCACGCUUGAAUACAUUAGCAUGGAAUAAUAAAAUAGGACGUUUGAUUCUAUUUUGUUGGUUUCUAGGAUCGACGUAAUGAUUAAUAGGGAUAGUUGGGGGCAUUAGUAUUCAAUUGUCAGAGGUGAAAUUCUUGGAUUUAUUGAAGACUAACUACUGCGAAAGCAUUUGCCAAGGAUGUUUUCAUUAAUCAAGGACGAAAGUUAGGGGAUCGAAGACGAUCAGAUACCGUCGUAGUC
rnacentral:rRNA from 1 species